CUACGGGGGGCAGCAGUGGGGAAUAUUGCACAAUGGGCGCAAGCCUGAUGCAGCCAUGCCGCGUGUAUGAAGAAGGCCUUCGGGUUGUAAAGUACUUUCAGCGGGGAGGAAGGGAGUAAAGUUAAUACCUUUGCUCAUUGACGUUACCCGCAGAAGAAGCACCGGCUAACUCCGUGCCAGCAGCCGCGGUAAUACGGAGGGUGCAAGCGUUAAUCGGAAGUACUAGGCGUAAAGCGCACGCAGGCGGGUUGUUAAGUCAGAUGUGAAAUCCCCGGGCUCAACCUGGGAACUGCAACUGAUACUGGCAAGCUAGAGUCUCGUAGAGGGGGGUAGAAUUCCAGGUGUAGCGGUGAAAUGCGUAGAGAUCUGGAGGAAUACCGGUGGCGAAGGCGGCCCCCUGGACGAAGACUGACGCUCAGGUGCGAAAGCGUGGGGAGCAAACAGGAUUAGAUACCCUAGUAGUC
rnacentral:rRNA from 1 species